GAUGAACGCUGGCGGCGUGCCUAAUACAUGCAAGUCGAGCGAACAGACGAGGAGCUUGCUCCUCUGACGUUAGCGGCUGACGUGUGAGUAACACGUGGAUAACCUACCUAUAAUACUGGGAUAACUUCGGGAAACCGGAGCUAAUACCGGAUAAUAUAUUGAACCGCAUGGUUCAAUAGUGAAAGACGGUUUUGCUGUCACUUAUAGAUGGAUCCGCGCCGCAUUAGCUAGUUGGUAAGGUAACGGCUUACCAAGGCAACGAUGCGUAGCCGACAUGAGAGGGUGAUCGGCCACACUGGAACUGAGACACGGUCCAGACUCCUACGGGAGGCAGCAGUAGGGAAUCUUCCGCAAUGGGCGAAAGCUUGACGGAGCAACGCCGCGUGAGUGAUGAAGGUCUUCGGAUCGUAAAACUCUGUUAUUAGGGAAGAACAAAUGUGUAAGUAACUAUGCACGUCUUGACGGUACCUAAUCAGAAAGCCACGGCUAACUACGUG
rnacentral:rRNA from 1 species